GAUGAACGCUGGCGGCGUGCUUAACACAUGCAAGUCGAACGGUGAAGCAGGAGCUUGCUCUUGUGGAUCAGUGGCGAACGGGUGAGUAACACGUGAGCAACCUGCCCCUGACUCUGGAAUAAGCGCUGGAAACGGCGUCUAAUACUGGAUAUGUGAUGUGACCGCAUGGUCUGCAUCUGGAAAGAAUUUCGGUUGGGGAUGGGCUCGCGGCCUAUCAGCUUGUUGGUGAGGUAAUGGCUCACCAAGGCGUCGGCGGGUAGCCGGCCUGAGAGGGUGACCGGCCACACUGGGACUGAGACACGGCCCAGACUCCUACGGGAGGCAGCAGUGGGGAAUAUUGCACAAUGGGCGGAAGCCUGAUGCAGCAACGCCGCGUGAGGGAUGACGGCCUUCGGGUUGUAAACCUCUUUUAGCAGGGAAGAAGCGAAAGUGACGGUACCUGCAGAAAAAGCACCGGCUAACUACGUGCCAGCCGCCGCAGUAA
rnacentral:rRNA from 1 species